rnacentral:rRNA from 1 species
CCCUUAGAUGUUCUGGGCUGCACGCGCGCUACACUGAAGCUAUCAACACGUUUUCCCUCCCUGAGAAGGGCGGGUAACCUUUUGAAUUAGCUUCGUGGUAGGGAUCGGGGCUUGCAAUUGUUCCCCGUGAACCAGGAAUUCCUAGUAGACGCGAGUCAUAAGCUCGCAUCGAUUAAGUCCCUGCCCUUUGUACACACCGCCCGUCGCUACUACCGAUUGAACGUUUUAGUGAGGCAUUUGGACCGACGCAUCUCAGUUUAACCGCUGGUUUGUGUUGGAAAGACUUCCAAACUUGAGCGUUUAGAGGAAGUAAAAGUCGUAACA